AUUGAACGCUGGCGGCAGGCCUAACACAUGCAAGUCGAGCGAGCGGCGGGCGGGUGAGUAAUGCCUGGGAAUUGCCCAGUCGAGGGGGAUAACAGAUGGAAACGACUGCUAAUCCCACAUACGAAUGGAUUGCCCAGGGUGGAUUGGCUAGUUGGUGAGGUAAUGGCUCACCAAGGGGACGAGCCCUAGCUGGUCUGAGAGGAUGAUCAGCCACACGGGAACUGAGACACGGGCCAGACUCCUACGGGAGGCAGCAGUGGGGAAUAUUGCACAAUGGGGGAAACCCUGAUGCAGCCAUGCCGCGUGUGUGAAGAAGGCCUUCGGGUUGUAAAGUACUUUCAGCGGGGAGGCGUUACUCGCAGAAGAAGCACCGGCUAACUCCGUGCCAGCAGCCGCGGUAAUUC
rnacentral:rRNA from 1 species